UUUUUCGAGAAAUUGCCAUACUAUUUUCCACAGUGGCUGGACUAAUUUACGCUCCCACCAACAGUGUAUAAGAGUUGCCUUUUCUCUGCAUACUUACCAACAUGUGUUAUUUUUUGUGCUUUUCAUAAUUGCCAUUCCAUGACUGGUUGAUUUCUUUACAAACUUUCCAGAAUAAAGUUCCUUAAUUUCCCCUGCUUUUAAAGAAUUGGAUGAAAUCUUAAGCUUAGCACAUCUAAUAGAAGUAGACCAUCAAGAGCAAGGUAAGUGGCUGUCCUUAUCUAGUCUUCCCUGAAGUACCGUGUUAUGUGAUAAAUGUCACAGUCUGAGAGCAACAUGGACAAUUUAGGGCAUAUCAAAGAAGAGGGACCUUAACAGUCCAAAAUGCUAGAUCAUGACAUGGGAAUAAUAGGUGAAGAUUGAAUUAAAGACCUUAACCUGGAAAAGAAACAAUUUGGCAAGGAAAUGGUGACUAUUCUUAAAGAUUGGAAGGUGGUAAAGUAUAAAAACUAUUCGAUGUUUUCUGUUUGGUCUAAGAAGGAUGAAAGAAUUGAAGUUUUGGGACAGCAGAUAUGGAGUUACCAUAAAGAAGAACACUGUUGCAAUUCAACAGGUUCUUUUUUUUAAUUUUAUAUAUAUAUAUAUAUAUAUAUUUAUUUAUUAUACUUUAAGUUCUAGGGUACAUGUGCACAACAUGCAGGUUUGUUACAUAUGUAUACAUGUGCCAUGUUGGUGUGCUGCACCCGUUAACUCAUCGUUUACAUUAGGUAUAUCUCCUAAUGCUAUCCCUUCCCCCUCCCUCAACGGGUUCUGAAAAUGAAAUAGUCUGCUUUCCUACUUAGUGAGUUCACUUUCCUUGACUGUGUUCAGAUGGAAGCUAGUUGCCCACUUUGGGGGACUGUUGGAAAAUGUAUCAGAGAAGAAAUGGAACUUCUUAAAUCUUCGGUCCCCUUCUCACCCUGAAGUUCUAUGAAGAUGCCUAUUUUGGGGAGUAUGAGGCAGGCUAAGUAACCCUUAUCUGAAAUUCUUGGAAGAAGAAGUGUUUUGGAUUUGGGAUUUUUCCAGAUUUUGGACUAUUUGCAUGUAUAUAAUGAGAUAUCUUGAGAAUGGGAUCAAAUAUGAAUGGUUUUAAGAAUCUAGGUCUGUGGGGUUUUUCUUAUAUGUCUUUGUAUUGGCUUUCCUAGCACACAGCUAAGGAAACAAUUACUUUAUUUCAUUAAAAGAGGCAGUAUAUUAAAGCAGUCUAGUUUAUUUAGACAAAAACCCACACAAAGCAAACAAAAAACCAAACUCCUUUUAAGGAUGUUCUCCCAGAAUUAUCUAUCUAUGCUCAUCUACUUAAAUAGGCUCUUUUGAAAUUUCUGCAUGUGUUGUGCUGGGUGGGGUAGAUACAACCUUUCUGUGGCCAUCGUGCUGCCCAGGUGGGACGUGGAGACCACCACUUCACCCAAGGUGGUCGACAGCUCCACUCAUGGCGUCCAUCAGCAGUAGAGACACUAAAUGAGGUUCGAGUCCUAGGAGGCAUCCUCUGGGGAUGUUGAGGGUCAAACUCGAGGCUAACAGUGACCGGUGGGGAGAGGCUGGAGAGAGAAACAGCCGAAAUGAAGCUGCUCCUUCAGACAACUCCCUGCUUUCUGCUGCUAGUUGAGCCACAGAGAUAAGUGGUAGGGCUUAUCUUUAUUGACUUUUACACCAUGGUUGACUGCAUAAUGCUAUGGAAGCCACUUCAUAUUAAUUAGUUUAGGUAAAAGACUUGUAAAAGAGAUAAAGAGACAGUGUGGUGUAAAUAUACAGGCUUUGGAGUCAAAGAGCCAGGGUUCAAGUUCUGACUUUCUAACUGUAUGACCUUGAGCAAGUAAAUUACUUAAUCUCUCUAGGCCUCAGUCUCCUUAUCUGUACAAUGGAGCUAGGAAUAGUUGCUGGCUCAUAAGUGCUACAUAAGUACUACAUAAGUACUAGCUUUUCUUGUUUUCACAGAAACAGAAAACUGAACCCCAUUUGAACUUGCUUCUCCUUAAGUCCUGUCCAAGACACAAAAGGAACAAAAAUGGCAUUGAGAUCCUGGCUGCUUAUGUCCAAGAUGAAGCUAGGACCUUCAGAAGCAAGCUCAAGAGAUGAUGAAUGAAGGAAGGUGGAGCUCCGAAGACCAUGAAGACUUGGUGCAGCAGGAGAUACCUGUUAUAGGGAAGAAGGAAGAAAGGAAGAGAAAAGAAAAGGAAAAGACCAAAAUGCAUCUCCUGGAAGCAAAAUAUCCCAAACUUGAAAGAGGAGUCACAACUUAAAUCAAAAGCAUGAAAUGUGUUAUAAGGAGGUCUUUUCCCUAAAACAAAUAUAUUACUAAAACAGUAAACAGUGGUAUGCUGUAAAUCAUAAUCUUUUGCCUAAUGCAUUCCUAAAGUUUCAUCCUAAGAGCAAACACCAGUGAGAAAUGGACACUCAGGAACCCAGAUAACUCAAAAGUUGGAAGGAAGCUGUCUGCAGUCAUUUUCAUUAAAGAGAUAAGAUCACCUGGCCCUCUUCAGUAGCUUUUACACUUAAUGUCCCUCCCUCCCGACUCUCAAAGCUAUAAACCUGAGAAGAAAAAACCCAGCUUUGCUUUUAGCCACAACUCUAGCAAUUUAAGCAAAGACAGGGUAGGGAACAAUAAAAAUAUUCAUGGCCAUCAUGAAGAUUUACCAUAACACCCAUUAUACUUUCUUGGUGGAAUUACUUCCCCGUGGCCUCCUUUCUUCAACCAAGGAAAAAAUAUGCCUUCCAAAUUCCAUUUUUUGUUCCUUCUUGAGCCAAAAAUAUAAUCUAUAUUUGCUUAAAAGAGGGUUCUGGAAAGUGAAAGAGCCUUUAUCUGCUUGUGAGAAAUGGAAUUAACUGAAAAUCAAAUGGAAACUUUGGUAGGAAUACUAUGGUGAAUGGUUAAAUAUUUACAACAUAAGAACCAGUUCGUUUGAAAACAAAUGUACAAGUGCCUGGCUUCCUUCCCUGCCUCAGGAGUCAAGAAUGUUCCGUUGCUGAGAAGGGCCAUUUUAUUGACAUUCAAGUAAAAGAUUUGGUUCCAGGAAAAGAAGGUAAGAGUGAAUACAAGUGCUAUGGUUCUACAAACUAGUAUUGUACCAGAUGAGUCCAUGCUGAUGAGGCUGUCCUUUAAAGAUAAAUUCACAAAGAAAAAGUGCCUAGGGGAAAAUGAGUAAUUCUGACA